UGGUUUCUCCUGAGACAACCGCAAUAGCAACCAUGCCUUGUCUCAGUUGAGAUGUUGCUGGCAGUACGGGGAGGCCAAGGCAGUUGGAGGUCUGUGGGAAAAGUCGGGGGAGGGCCAGAGUGUGUGCACCCUCUGUCCAUAGUUGGAGCUGAAGCCAGGAAAAGAAGCCCCCUAAAGAACUUUCUCAAGCUGAAAGCAGUACAGGGGUGAGUCAGGAGGAGAUGUUAGAAUCAAAGUGUGAAGUGGGCUUAAACCACUGGGGUUGGGUUUAAAGAUGGAAAGGAGCCACAGGGUAGAGGGAGGUGGCCUCCUGAUGCUCAGUGACCCUGGCAGAGGACCGGUGAGGAAACAGAAACCUCUGUCCCAGGGCCUGAUGGAACUUCAUUCUGCCAGUGCCCCCAAGGAACUGUAAGUGUACUAAUCCCAGCAGCUGCAAAAAGGAGCCAGUUCUGCUGCUGCCCUGAGGUCCACCUGGAGAUGAUGAGGCAGUAGGUUCCAGGCCCCACACUCCUGGCCACUUGCUAACCCUGGCAACCAAAAACUACCACCAGUUGAUACACGAUGGUGCAUCAGUACAGGGUCUGAAUGGAAAAUACCCGAGAUGGAACCAGCAGAAGUUCAGACUGCAUGGAGAAAGGCCUGUAAACUUGAAGACCUAGCAAAACAGCAAAAACCAGAAUCCUCAAAUAAUACAGAGAUGGGAAAUAAAGACUGGAAAUGGGAACUUCAUUUUAAAAACAGCAAGAAAAGAAAUAAGAUGUCCAGACCGAAAAGGAAGAAUUAAGACCAUCUAUACAGAAUGGGCAAAGCCAGAGGUAUAUUCAGACACUGUACUUCAGUAAUCAUAAAAACCCAGACUCAGAGAUCUGCCAGCUCCAACCUGCACCACGGAGCUCACUCUGCUUUUGCUUCUCAUAUUUCAACUGCUUCUUCCACAGGUAGAGACCUGGACCCCUC
rnacentral:lncRNA from 1 species